UUCAUAGCCAAGAAGAAGAUGGAAGGAGCAAUGGGUCUUAAGUCCCUGUUUAUGCUCGUGGUUGUGUACUCAGAGUGGUCAGUCUUCGCAUAUAGUCAAGAACAGUACUGUGUGACCCAAGAGCCUCAGGAUCCUAAGCUCAACGUCUGUACCAAACCACAAAGUGAGGAUGUCAGCAAAAAAAUUGAAGACGCUCUUGCGGGUAAGACAGACAUCGAAGAGUCAAUUGAGGAAAUUUCUGCGGAAAACUGGAACGUUGAAUUUGAGGAGCAAGAGUACUCCAAUCUCCUGACGGCGUGCUAUUAUGAACAACGUUAUGUAACAACUGUCAAGAAAGACGGAAAAGAAUGCUACGUUGUUAAACCCGAAAUCCAAAAGAUUCUAGUGGCAAAAUGUCUGAACAAAAAAUGUAAUAACCAGGGCUAUUACAAUCCAUCUGGCUAUGAAAGUAAUUGUUACAGAGAUGGCCUCAAACAAUUUAAACUUUGGAUAUACUGUGACGAAGAAACCAGCAAUCUUAAGAUGAUUGAAAUUAAUUUGCCUCAAUAUUGCUCAUGUAAAUCUUUCAAGUAUUGUGGUGCACCAUAUGUAGAUAGACCAUCAAGUAAUGGUAGACAUCGGUGUCAAUGUGAUUCAUGUAUCCAAGGUCCUCCGGGUCCUCCUGGAGAGAGAGGUCCCAAGGGUGAAACUGGAGAGCGCGGACCUAGAGGUGAUCCAGGUAAUAAGGGGGAUGUUGGACCUCAAGGGCCGGAGGGUAAUGACGGUGCUGUGGGAAUGAAAGGGGAUCCCGGGAUGAAGGGGGAGAAAGGUGAUCAAGGAUCUCCUGGACUGCCAGGUUUAGCUGGAAAAGACGGUAGUAAAGGAGAUCCGGGUAUGAAAGGAGAGGCGGGACCCCCAGGUUCCAAAGGGGAUCCAGGACCACCCGGACAAACAGGCCCAGCUGGACCUCCUGGACAACAAGGAAUGAAUGGUAUGCAUGGAAUGAAUGGAAUGAAUGGAAUGAAUGGAAAUGGAGGAGGCUCUGGUAAUUGUGGAAAUGGGGGAGGCUGUGGUAAUUGUGGAAAUUGUAGUCCUGGAAAUCCUGGGGGCGGCAAUAGUCCUGGAGGUGGCAGUCCUGGAGGUGGCAGUAGUCCUGGAGGCGGCAGUACUGAUGACGACUGUAAAAAUGGUAAUCCUGGAGAAGAUGGAAAUUGUGGCAAAGGAAAUGAUGAUGGAAAGCCUGGAAACCAGAAAACUCCAGGAAGUUCAGAGAACCAGGAAACUCCAGGAAGUUCGGAACAAAUUGAUCCCACUCCACCUAAUUGAAAUCCUGUUUUUACAAAGAUAACAUACAUUUACUGAUAAAAAAUACCUAUUUAAUUUUGUUGCAAUUUUAAGAUACCUUGCAAGAAUAAACGCAUUAUGUUUAAUGAAACAG
rnacentral:sRNA from 1 species